rnacentral:rRNA from 1 species
GACAGAGGGUGCAAACGUUGUUCGGAAUUACUGGGCGUAAAGUGUGCGCAGGCGGCAGAGCAAGUUGAGUGUGAAAGCCCCGGGCUUAACUUGGGAAUUGCGCUCGAAACUACUUUGCUGGAGUGUGGCAGAGGAAGGUGGAAUUCCACGUGUAGCGGUGAAAUGCGUAGAGAUGUGGAGGAACACCAAUGGCGAAGGCAGCCUUCUGGGCCAACACUGACGCUCAUGCACGAAAGCGUGGGGAGCAAACAGG